rnacentral:tRNA from 15 species
GCCCUUGUAGCUCAGUUGGUAGAGCAUCUGAUUUGUAAUCAGAGGGUCGGGAGUUCGAGUCUCUCCGGGGGCACCA